rnacentral:tRNA from 3 species
GGUCGGGAUAGCUCAGCUGGUAGAGCAGAGGAC